GCUGGUGAAAUUCAAUUUCUAUUUCAGUAGAUAUCGCCAGUCGUUACGGAGAACAGGGUGCGAUUAGAAGUUGCUCAACGUUCCAAAGUGAUGUGAAAAUUGUGUCUAUUGCAUAUACAUGGUUCAAUUAAUAAUCUAUUAGCAUGAUGGCUAAUCGUUCUGAUUUUACACACGUCACUAAUUGUACUUACCGUUUUGCCGAAAGAAUAAAACUGAGGUUCACUUCACUGGUAGUAAUGCAGUUACAAAUUAUGCUAUGAAGUCAUCAAUGAAAAUAGUGAAUAUGCAGCAUACACUCCUGGGGAAAGUUGGACUCAGCCUUAUCAAAAAGGCUGAGGAUAACAAAAUCGGGAUCAAUUUUUUCAAUAGCUCGAUCGCGGAACGGAGAGGGUGAACCACGGCGGCGCUUCAGGCCAGAACGCGUCCUGCGCUCCACACAGAAAUCGCCAGAGAAAAUAAAAUUUGUCCCACUGACUUCAGAAAUGCGACUACCAUCGACGCGCCGUGUUGUUGGAAUUUGCAGUCGUUGCAUUGAAGAACAACAAAUUUUCUUACUUUUCAGCUAUUAUGUAAUACUGGCCGCAAAGUCUGACGAUAGCCAAAAGAGACGGCAGGCACGUGCGCGUCAUCGGGCUGGGCAACAUAGAGCAACAUAUGUCAACAUAUGGACAACUCGAAUUGACUAUUUAUUCCAGAACAGAUUGCGGCUUCAUCUUUUUUCAGCUUCACUAACCUAAAACAAAACCGCCUCAAGUUUUCGAAAUCGAAAAACAAAUAAAAACUGAAUGAUCACAAAAAAACCAGAACUCGACUAAGCGCGCUUCAUUGGUUCGUUACUAUGGUCAUAAAAAUAAAUGAUCUUCAUAACGGAACCUUGCGAUACACUUUACACUAUAUGUACAUCAGCUAGUAAUUUACUGUAGAAAAGUACCCACGUUCCAUGUGUAUGUUGUCGGUUCGCGAUCAAUUCAAGCAGAACGGGAAGACGUGACCGAGCGCAAAAAAAUCAGAACCAAUUAAAAAAUCAGCAAACAAGUCAGCAAUGCACAGAAACCUCCAAGAGUGUCUGAUUUCUUGACUAUGGACGGAAAUCAUAACAAGAUCG